UACACUUAUUUAAUUGCACAUUCCAGAAGAUCUCAUUUUUUUAUUCGCUGCUAAGAAUUAGGUCAAGUAACCAGAUCUCGUAUCUCCCUCAAUUAUAUGAUCUCUGUUUUUGCUCAAUUUUGAUCUCAAUUCUCUUCUUUCUUCUCGAUUUGUUAUUCGAUUGUGAUGCUGAAGAGGCCAUGCUUGCGAUCUGAGUUCUGAAAGUAUCUCUCUAUUUCGUGUCCCCUUGAACGGCAAAAGGCGGCAUCUAUUUGUAGGGAAGACUAGGGCGAAGUUGUCGCCAAAUGUUGAAAAGGAGUUGACGGAGGAGUUAUGGUGACUCCCUAUGUAUCAUGAUUUUGCAUUCUUCCAACCUAUAGUGCUACUGGAAAUCAUGAGUGAGCACAUGGAAUUCGUGAAUCAUCAGCUUACAAUUGAAGUCUGCUGCAAUUAAAAUUUCAUGAUGAGAAUAUGGGAUGCAAUUACCUAUAAUGUAUGAUUUGCAAAACAUUACCCUAGUUCUGGAGCUUCUGCUUGUGGCUUUUGUGAUUGCUGCUUUGGUGGGCUCAGUUCAUGCUGGACUGGCGCUUCCCCGUUCUCAGUGGUGCUAGCAUCAUUCAUAACAUGUGAGCUAAUAAGAGCUCUUCCAUUCAAACCUCUUCGUCCAUAAACCUGGAUUAACCAAGAUUCUAUUCUUAGGCCUGAUCAUUCUUUCAAGGAGAAGAAUGAUACCGGUGAUGGUCUUUUAAGCUUUGAAGUUGCUGUCUCAAGCUAGAUGCCUCCCCCUGCCAGAACUAGUGAGUAUAGAGAAAACCAUUUAGUUUAUACAAUAUACGUACAUAUUAUGCUAGCUAAUUAAUUUCAAGUAAGAUUUUGAACUAAACCUGAAAAGAAUAGUAGUGGAACAUUCUUUAAUGAUUACUAUUAUCAGAAGUAUCAAGCACUUGUAAGGCUAAUGCUUUAGCUACAGACCUCAGUUAUGAAAUUUCAGUUAUGUUGAACCUCCAGGCGAUCACAAAUGAAGUCAAGAUCCAGUGGGAUAAGUAUGUAUACAAAUAUACAGACUGGUCUAGGUUUUUAAUAUGACAUACUUCUUGUCAAGCCUUUUUAUUUCUCUCUGGUAUAUUGGAUCAGUUUUUCGUAAAUGUAUCAGGUAUAUUGGGACCUUCCUUCUGGUAUAGAAACUGGUGUAUUUAAGGCCUUCAGGAAAUAAAAAAUGCAUGUUAUUGGUAUAUGGAAGUACCUUCAUAAAUUUAUACACAGCGUUUCUAAUAA